GACGAACGCUGGCGGCGUGCUUAACACAUGCAAGUCGAACGAAAAAUCAUUGAAAGCUUGCUGAUAUGAUUUUUAGUGGCGGACGGGUGAGUAACGCGUGAGGACUUGUCUUAUACAGGGGGACAACAGUUGGAAACGGCUGCUAAUACCCCAUAAGCCUUCGGGUAAAAGGAGCAAUCCGGUAUUCGAGAGACUCGCGUCCUAUCAGCUAGUAGGUGAGGUAACGGCUCACCUAGGCGAUGACGGGUAGGGGACCUGAGAGGGUGGCCCCCCACAAUGGAACUGAAACACGGUCCAUACACCUACGGGUGGCAGCAGUAGGGAAUAUUAGUAAUGGGCGAAAGCCUGAACUAGCAACGCCGCGUGUGCGAAGAAGGCCUUCGGGUCGUAAAGCACUUUUGAGAGGAUGAGGAAGGACGGUACCCUCAGAAUAAGUCUCGGCUAACUACGUG
rnacentral:rRNA from 1 species